rnacentral:rRNA from 1 species
AUUGAACGCUGGCGGCAGGCCUAACACAUGCAAGUCGAGCGAGCGGCGGACGGGUGAGUAAUGUCUGGGAAACUGCCUGCUGGAGGGGGAUAACUACUGGAAACGGUAGCUAAUACCGCAUACCAUCAGAUGUGCCCCGAUGGGAUUAUCUAGUAGGUGUGGUAACGGCUCACCUAGGCGACGAUCCCUCGCUGGUCUGAGAGGAUGACCCGCCACACUGGAACUGGGACACGGUCAAGACUCCUACGGGAGGCAGCAGGGGGGAAUAUUGCAAAAUGGGCGAAAGCCGGAUGCAGCCAGGCCGGGUGUGGAAGAAAGGCCUUCGGGUUGUAAAGAACUUUCAGCGGGGAGGCGUGACCCGCAGAGGAAGCACCGGCUAACCCCGUGCCAGCAGCCGCGGUAAUA